GAAAUACAGAGGACGGAAGAUAGACGGAGAGAAACAGAGAAAUGCAGUGCUCCGAUUUUACCUUCUCAGGGAGCGAUUCACGCUUCUACAUCCCUUCGAGCCCUAGCAUUACUGGCCGGCGACCAAUUACUGGCCACCGAUCUGGUAUUUUCUUUCCCAACACUCUUCCGUGCAACUUGAUGCGCUUGCCGUCUCUUUCGAUCAGAGCCAAGGCAUCGUUCAACGAAGGAACUGUCUCCUCCGAGGUUGCCGAUGGCUCCUUCUACGAUUUGCUUGGUGUAUCUGAGUCCGUAUCCUUGGCGGAAAUCAAGCGCGCGUACAAGCAGCUCGCCCGGAAGUACCAUCCGGACGUGUCGCCGAUCGGCCGUGCGGAGGAGUAUACGAAAAGGUUCAUUCGUGUUCAGGAGGCGUAUGAGACAUUGUCAGAUCCGAGGAGGAGAGCUCUAUAUGAUAGAGAUAUGGUUGGAGGUCUUCAAGUCGCGUUCUCUGCUUGGAGACUAUACGAUGCCGAUCAGGAAGCUCCAGAGAAAAGUGGAUGGAGGAGUUGUUGGCAGUCUCAGAUAUCAGAAUUGAAGAGAAGAAGCAUGAACAAGGAUUCGAGUCAAAAUAUGUCCUGGGGAGCUCGAAUGCGCCGGCAAAUGAAUGAACAGGUCUGAUGCAAUUUUAGACUAUCGAAACCACCAUGUUUGACUUCAGUAUAUUCAUACUGGAGCAACAUAAGUUUAUAAAUAAUACGCCCAAUUUGAUAACAAUAAUUUUGUUGCUAGUUUUGUCGAAGUACCAU